CAGCAGCCGCGGUAAUACGUAGGUGGCAAGCGUUGUCCGGAAUUAUUGGGCGUAAAGGGCUCGCAGGCGGUUUCUUAAGUCUGAUGUGAAAGCCCCCGGCUCAACCGGGGAGGGUCAUUGGAAACUGGGAAACUUGAGUGCAGAAGAGGAGAGUGGAAUUCCACGUGUAGCGGUGAAAUGCGUAGAGAUGUGGAGGAACACCAGUGGCGAAGGCGACUCUCUGGUCUGUAACUGGCGCUGAGGAGCGAAAGCGUGGGGAGCGAACAGGAUUAGAUACCCCGGUAGUCCCUGUCUCUUAUAC
rnacentral:rRNA from 1 species